CUCAGCAUGUGGUUUCCCUUUGAACUUCUUUUCUCCUGUGGAUUCUAGAGACACACCCAGUACUGUUUGCAACUUCAGGCUCUGGCUCUGAUUCGUCCCACACAGAAACUGCAAACGGGAAAACAACCGGGUGGGACAAAGGAGACAGACUACAGGACAGUGGAGCAAAGAUGAGUCUGGAAAAAACUUCUCACCCCUAGUCUCCAGUUAUCCCAGAAGAAAGCUAGCCAUCACCCUAGGAUCUCUUCUUACAAAGAUACCAACCCCAUCAUGAAGACAUCAUUUAAACACAAUCAACUCCAAAGGAUCCACUUCCAGACACUGGCUUUUUGUGUUAGAACAUCAACUGAUAAAUUUGGCAGACUGUGACGUCCUUGCAGAUUCACAGCUCACAUGAAUUACUCCCUAUUCCUGACCUUCUGCAUUAUACAACUUCAGCACUCAAUCUACAAAGGCAGUUAUUCAGCCAGAAGGAGGUGCUGGGAUCUGGGCAGAGGCUGUGAAUAGAUUUGGAUUCAGUUAUACCUGCCAACUCCCCUAUGGAACCACCAGCUUCUGUAGAGUUUGCAUUGUAAACUAUGAUACCUAAUGCAAUAAAAUCUACACCGUUUUAUCUGCCAGCAGCUCAGAGCUAAUUAGACACUAAUUGAAAGAAUUUCUCAACGCCUCAUUUCACUGUGUAGGCAUGGGCAAUGCAAGUGUUAUUUUGUGUGCGAGAUCCUGAGGGUGGGAACCGCACAUUUGAAGCUGUGGGAGAUGUAUCAAGCUCUAAGCACUUAGAGGAUGAAUGCCCAGGAUUCUAGAGUCCUGCAUUUCCUAGUUGGGAGUGUAUUUCCACAGUCAUGCACUGGAGAGCACAGGGCACUGCAAAGAAACAGUGCUUGCCAUCCAGGGGAGGUAACCAUGAACACUACAGAAUGGAAGGCAGUUUUAAAGAAAGGUAAUCAUAGAUGUUGUGAUGGUUAAUUUUGAUUGUCAAUUUGGUGAGUAUUAAUAUUGUCAUGGAAACAAAUCAGAUAGCAUGCCUAUGAAGGAUUAUUUAGGCUAGGCUAGGCUUGCAUCUGUGCUUGUCUGUUAGGAAUUGUCUUGAUCUUACCUUAGAUACAGGCAAUAAAUCCAAAGGGAUGGGGUCCCUAACAGCAUACAAAGGAAGAGGUGAGCUGAGCAGGAGUAUUCGUUGCUCUCUGCUUCCUAAGAUGUGAUGUGACCAGCCCUUUCAUGCCCUUGAUUAUGGUAACUUCCUCACCAUGAUGGACUGUACCCUCCAAAUGUGAGCCAAAAUAAAUGCUUCCAUGAGUUA